GACGAACGCUGGCGGCGUGCCUAAUACAUGCAAGUAGAACGCUGAAGGAGGAGCUUGCUCUUCUGGAUGAGUUGCGAACGGGUGAGUAACGCGUAGGUAACCUGCCUGGUAGCGGGGGAUAACUAUUGGAAACGAUAGCUAAUACCGCAUAAGAGUAGAUGUUGCAUGACAUUUACUUAAAAGGUGCAAUUGCAUCACUACCAGAUGGACCUGCGUUGUAUUAGCUAGUUGGUGGGGUAACGGCUUACCAAGGCGACGAUACAUAGCCGACCUGAGAGGGUGAUCGGCCACACUGGGACUGAGACACGGCCCAGACUCCUACGGGAGGCAGCAGUAGGGAAUCUUCGGCAAUGGACGGAAGGCUGACCGAGCAACGCCGCGUGAGGGAAGAAGGUUUUCGGAUCGUAAAGCUCUGUUGUAAGAGAAGAACGAGUGUGAGAGUGGAAAGUUCACACUGUGACGGUAUCUUACCAGAAAGGGACGGCUAACUACGUG
rnacentral:rRNA from 1 species